rnacentral:tRNA from 1 species
GCCGGGGUAGCUCAGGGGUAGAGCGGCUGUUUUGUAAACAGCGGGUCGCGGGUUCGAAUCCUGUCCCCGGCUCCA